rnacentral:tRNA from 1 species
GGGGUUCUGGCUCAGUGGUAGAGUGCUUGCCUAGCACGUAUGAGGCACUGGGUUCAAUUCUCAGCACCACA